rnacentral:rRNA from 1 species
GACGAACGCUGGCGGCGUGCCUAACACAUGCAAGUCGAGCGGUAAGGCCCUUUUGGGGGUACACGAGCGGCGAACGGGUGAGUAACACGUGGGUGACCUGCCCUCAGCUCUGGGAUAAGCCUGGGAAACUGGGUCUAAUACUGGAUAUGACCUUUCCUCGCAUGGGGUUGGGUGGAAAGUUUUUCGGCUGGGGAUGGGCCCGCGGCCUAUCAGCUUGUUGGUGGGGUGAUGGCCUACCAAGGCGACGACGGGUAGCCGGCCUGAGAGGGCGACCGGCCACACUGGGACUGAGACACGGCCCAGACUCCUACGGGAGGCAGCAGUGGGGAAUAUUGCGCAAUGGGCGGAAGCCUGACGCAGCGACGCCGCGUGGGGA